AAAUAAUAUUUUUAGAGUUAUACGUAAAUAAUUUUUACGGCGUAAAAGCAAAAUAAAUUCAUACAUACUGUAAUACAAUAAGCCAGAGUAUUUAAUUUAAUUUACAAUAACCAGUGGGCUCCCGAAUAACUAAAAGUAAGAAAGACUGUGAACCUACAGUUUGGAGGACGCAAAUCCAACUGUAGCCCUCAACGAAAUGAGCUAUCUACUGACUAUCCUGAGCCUAAAAUGGGUGGAAAAGAGGGUGCUCAGAUUAUAUAAUCCCAGUGAGUAAACAAAUACCAUCUAAAAUAUCUAAAGCUGAGUAAAUGGAGACAGAUAAAAUAGUUUAACAUACUGUAAUUCAUCACCUUUCAACUCAUUUCAACCAAAUAAAAUCAAUUCAUAUAAAUCGAGUAAUCAACAUGGCUUAUGAAUUUCUUAAAACUUUGGCUCCUGCCAAAAUCAUUCUCAUACUCAGUUAUUAGGGAUACUUUGAUCUAGGGCUAUCCCAACCAAGUCCGCCAAGGUUGUUAAAAAGUUAUGUACGCAUAAAUCAUGUUUUUAUUUUGAAAACAUAACCGCUCCUUGGCGUUGGCUGAGUUCACCAUCACGUGGUGGUUUGACGUGAAGUGAACUCUAAAGUGUUAACCUUAGAAGUUAUCCAUCCGCGCCUCUCAUACUGAGGUAUGAAUAUAAUAGGGUUACCGUGCCCCUCUAAUAGGCUGGUCCACGAAACCCAUCCACUGCAGCGAUAAAUUUAUAACCCACCAAUUUAAUAAAAUUUGCGAUAGCAUGACAUGGCAAUUAUUUUAUUUUAUAGCCUCUCAAGGCAAAUUAGUAGUUCAUACAUUAUCAACACAUUUACCAAAUCAACCAUUCAUGUCAAUAUUAUCAUAAGCCUUUCAAUUCAAACCAUGAUUUAUAACACAACAAUUUAGUCUCCAAUUACUCUAUUUUCAAAACCAUCUUUUAAUUUCAAGACAAUUUUAUAAGAUCAUUUUCAUUUAAUCACAUUUUGCUUAUAAAACAUAAAGAUUUGCCAUUUAAACUCAUUUUCCAUAAAAUCACAAAAUCGGAUAAAAACCACUUUAGAUAAUUAAGACGAUAGUAAGGUUACUCACUGUAUCAGAAGUUUGAAAUACUCUUAUUCUCAGUCCUUUGAUACAACAUCUUUACCCUUGUUAGAGGGCUCAACACCUAUAUACAAUACACGACACAUAAUUCAAUAUACUGUGUCAUACCAUUAUAAAUCUAUUUCAGGCUCUUUACUAAUGCAUGAAAUGGAAUGCAAAUUGUUUGAAUUAUCAACUAAGCACGAUGUUAUACACAAAUUCAAUUGUGUACCUAAAUUAAACGGUAUUGACCUAAUUCGAUCUAUCACUCGAUUAAUUGGCCAAUAUGUCCAAUUUAACUCCAAGUAAUUCCAUAUUCUCCCAAUACUCAAAAUCAUCAAACACAAAUUAAAUAACUUGAAAUAUGGCAAAAAUCAUCCACACAUUUUCUCUUGGGAAUUUCGGCCAUAGUGGGUGCAUCAAUACUAUGAUUUUUCCUACUUGAUUUUCUCACCGUAAUUCAUCAUUUCCUAACCAAUUCACUUGAAAUAAAAUCAAUAUCAUCAUCCACACUCUACAUGGAAAAUUCGGCCAAUGAUGGGUGAUGGGAGAAAAUGAAUUUUUCUUGCUUGAUUUUCAUGCUACACAUCACUAACUAACCAAAACCACUAAAAUACAUUGAAAUUUAACUAAAUCAAGCAUCAAAAUCUCUCUCUAAGUGUUCGGCCAGCAAGGGAUUCAUCAUGCUUUCAUGUGAUUCAACCAUGGAAAAUAAGAAAAAAAUGCUUAAGAAAGAUAGAUCUCAAACUUAAUCGAAAAAAUCUUACUUUUUUUCACUUGUUUCCUUGAAUUUUCACACUUUUCCCUUGAAUUUCUCCACCUAGGGUUUGUU
rnacentral:lncRNA from 1 species